GAUAAACGCUGGCGGCGUGCCUAACACAUGCAAGUCGAACGAGUUGCGAACGGGUGAGUAACACGUGAGUAACCUGCCUUACACAAGGGGAUAGCCUUUGGAAACGUAGAAUAAUACCCUAUAGUGUAUGAUGGACUCGCGUCUGAGUAGCUAGUUGGUGAGAUAACAGCUCACCUAGGGGAUGAUCAGUAGCCGGACUGAGGGUUGAUCGGCCGCAAUGGGACUGGGAGACGGCCAAGAGUCCUACGGGAGGAAGCAGGGGGGAAUAUUGAGCAAAGGCGCAAGACUGACCCAGCAACGCCGAGUGAAGAGAGACGGUCUUCGGAUUGUAAGCUUCUUGAGACAGGGACGCGGUACCUGUAUAAUAAGCCGCGGCUAACUACGUGCCAGCAGCCGCGGUAAUAC
rnacentral:rRNA from 1 species